rnacentral:rRNA from 1 species
CUACGGGGUGCACCAGUGGGGAAUAUUGGACAAUGGGCGCAAGCCUGAUCCAGCCAUGCCGCGUGGGUGAAGAAGGCCUUAGGGUUGUAAACCCCUUUCAGCGGGGAAGAUAAUGACGGUACCCGCAGAAGAAGUCCCGGCUAACUCCGUGCCAGCAGCCGCGGUAAUACGGAGGGGACUAGCGUUGUUCGGAAUUACUGGGCGUAAAGCGCACGUAGGCGGAUUUGUAAGUCAGGGGUGAAAUCCCGGGGCUCAACCUCGGAACUGCCUUUGAUACUGCGAAUCUCGAGUCCGGAAGAGGUGAGUGGAAUUCCUAGUGUAGAGGUGAAAUUCGUAGAUAUUAGGAAGAACACCAGUGGCGAAGGCGGCUCACUGGUCCGGUACUGACGCUGAGGUGCGAAAGCGUGGGGAGCAAACAGGAUUAGAUACCCCGGUAGUC